GAGAUUGUAGUUCAAUUGGUCAGAGCACCGCCUUGUCAAGGCAGAAGUUGUGGGAUCAAGCCCCAUCAAUUCA